GACGAACGCUGGCGGCGCGCCUAAUACAUGCAAGUCGAGCGAGAACCAGGGCUUCGGCCCUGGGGACAGCGGCGAACGGGUGCGUAACACGUGAGCAACCUGCCCCGAAGACCGGGACAAGCCGGGGAAACCUGGUCUAAUACCGGAUGUUCUCUUCGCAUCGCAUGGUGUGAUGAGGAAAUGGAUUCCGCUUCGGGAUGGGCUCGCGGUCUAUCAGCUUGUUGGUGGGGUAACGGCCUACCAAGGCGACGACGGAUAGCUGGUCUGAGAGGACGACCGGCCAAACGGGGACUGAGACACGGCCCAGACUCCUACGGGAGGCAGCAGUAGGGAAUCUUGCGCAAUGGGGGAAACCCUGACGCAGCGACGCCGCGUGCGGGAUGAAGGCCUUCGGGUUGUAAACCGCUUUCAGCAGGGACGAAAUUGACGGUACCUGCAGAAGAAGGCCCGGCCAACUACGUGCCAGCCGCCGCCGUAA
rnacentral:rRNA from 1 species